AGGGGAUUGCUGGAAUUCCAAAUGUUAGUGGUUGGUUAGAAUUAUUACCGAGAUCAAGAUGGUUAAAUAAAUUAAAAACAGUUUUAGUUUCAUCUGAAGUUAAUGUUAAACAUUUUUUAGCUGGAUGUUAUGUAUGGUAUGAAGUAUGUAAGGACAUUUCAGCUGGUGAUGAAUUAAAAUCAAAUCCAAAAGGUCCUAUACAAUUAUUGGACGUUUUUAGUAAUGGAUUAAAUUAUAGUGAAAAUAGAUCGGGAAGUGAUAGAGAAAGUGGAUCUCAACAUAGUAGCACACCUUAUGAAGAUGUUGAUUUUAAUACAUCAACUGAAUUAGGCAAUAGUACUAACAGUAAUAAUAAUAAUAAUAGUUCAACUGGAAAUCAUAACUAUCAUCAUCAAAAUUCAAUUAGAGAAAAUCAUAGUAAUAAUAUUUAUAAUAAUCACAAUAAUAGUCAUAACAGUCAUAGUA